AAGUCGUAACAAGGUUUCCGUAGGUGAACCUGCGGAGGGAUCAUUAACACGUAUCCUACGUAUAUACCAACCGUGAACUUGUCUUUUUGCUUUAACUGGAGUAUAAGAGUUUUGGUGGAGUUUGGCGUGAUAAAGCAGACUUUCGGGUCUGUUGCCGGCUUCAUCCUCUGAGCGCAAGCUUGGGACUCGUCAGUUAGGGCGUUUCCGUUUCCUUAUCACGAAACACUUGUUUUAACUUUAUUAACCAUUUGUACUUCUUUUGUACUAAACCAUGCAACUUUUUCACGCUUCGGUGUGAACUGUUGUAUAUUACGAAACGUAAAACAACUCUUAGCAACGGAUAUCUUGGUUCUG
rnacentral:misc_RNA from 1 species